rnacentral:lncRNA from 1 species
AAAAGAUACAUUAUGUCAUUCUUCUGAUUAUGAAUUUAAUUAAAAUCCUGAUUCCUGGAUGGUAUCGUGGGCCUAUUGAAUGAGAAUCUCUGGAACUAGAACUUGAAAUCUGCAUUUUAACAAAUGAGUCUGGUGAUUUUUAGCAUUCUAACAUUGGAGAACUACUGGUGAUGGAGAGUUCAGAUGACCAAUGGUGAAUUUUAUCUCACAUUACUAGCUUCUUCAGUUUUCUUCCCCUCAGUGCUCAGUGCUUUCCAGCUGAGAUAAAUCACCAAAGGCUGACCAACAAGAAUUCCUAAUACUAGAGGACCUAACAUUCCUUCUGAUGCAGGAGACAGACUUUUAUUUCAGCGCCAAAAGGAUCUACAAAACGCAGCCCAUCAGUCACAAUGAAUAACAAUUUCACCUUCACUCAAGUAUGUGCUUGAACAGUAACAGGUGAUUAAACCUAUCACAGUAUUACCUUGCAGACUGGAGGCACUCACCACAUUCUCAUGGUUUCUAAG